UACGUAGGUCCCGAGCGUUGUCCGGAUUUAUUGGGCGUAAAGCGAGCGCAGGUGGUUUAUUAAGUCUGGUGUAAAAGGCAGUGGCUCAACCAUUGUAUGCAUUGGAAACUGGUAGACUUGAGUGCAGGAGAGGAGAGUGGAAUUCCAUGUGUAGCGGUGAAAUGCGUAGAUAUAUGGAGGAACACAGGUGGCGAAAGCGGCUCUCUGGCCUGUAACUGACACUGAGGCUCGAAAGCGUGGGGAGCAAACAGG
rnacentral:rRNA from 1 species